CCAGACUCCUACGGGAGGCAGCAGUGGGGGAUAUUGCACAAUGGGGGGAACCCUGAUGCAGCGACGCCGCGUGGGUGAGGAAGUACCCCGGUAUGUAAAGCCCUUUCGGCAGGGAAGAAAAUGACGGUACCUGGCGAAGAAGCCCCGGCUAACUACGUGCCAGCAGCCGCGGUAAUACGUAGGGGGCAAGCGUUAUCCGGAUUCACUGGGUGUAAAGGGAGCGUAGACGGCGCUGCAAGUCCGGAGUGAAAGUCCAUGGCUUAACCAUGGUACUGCUCUGGAAACUGUGGAGCUUGAGUGCGGGAGGGGCAGGCGGAAUUCCUAGUGUAGCGGUGAAAUGCGUAGAUAUUAGGAGGAACACCGGCGGCGAAGGCGGCCUGCUGGACCGUAACUGACGUUGAGGCUCGAAAGCGUGGGGAGCAAACAGGAUUAGAUACCCCGGUAGC
rnacentral:rRNA from 1 species